rnacentral:lncRNA from 8 species
AUGUUGCCGUCUGCUUUGCUUAAUAUAAGGAAUUUUUCAUUAUUUCUACUUUUACUUUUGAUACUUAAGUAUAUUUUAGCAAUCACAUUUACUUUUGAUACUAUGGGGGUACCACAGGGUUCAAUUCUUGGGCUGACUCUUUUCUCUGUAUAUAUCAAUGAUGUUGCUCUUGCUGUGGGUGAUUCCCUGAUCCACCUCUACGCAGACGACACCAUUCUGUAUACAUCUGGCCCUUCUUUGGACACUGUGUUAACUAACCUCCAAACGAGCUUCGAUGCCAUACAACACUCCUUCCGUGGCCUCCAAUUGCUCUUAAAUUCUAGUAAAACCAAAUUCAUGCUUUUCAACCGUUCGCUGCCCGCACCCGCCCGCCCGACUAGCAUCACUACCCUGGACGGUUCUGACCUAGAAUAUGUGGACAACUACAAAUACCUAGGUGUCUGGCUAGACUGUAAACUCUCCUUCCAGACUCAUAUUAAACAUCUCCAAUCCAAAAUCAAAUCUAGAAUCGGCUUUCUAUUUCGCAACAAAGCCUCCUUCACUCACGCCGCCAAACUUACCCUAGUAAAACUGACUAUCCUACCGAUCCUCGACUUCGGCGAUGUCAUCUGCAAAAUAGCUUCCAAUACUCUACUCAGCAAACUGGAUGCAGUCUAUCACAGUGCCAUCCGUUUUGUUACCAAAGCCCCUUAUACUAUCCACCACUGCGACCUGUAUGCUCUAGUCGGCUGGCCCUCGCUACCUAUUCGUCGCCAGACCCACUGGCUCCAGGUCAUCUAUAAGUCUAUGCUAGGUAAAGCUCCGCCUUAUCUCAGCUCACUGGUCACGAUAACAACACCCACCCGUAGCACGUGCUCCAGCAAAUAUAUCUCACUGGUCAUCCCCAAAGCCAACACCUUUGGCUGCCUUUCCUUCCAGUUCUCUGCUGACAGUGACUGGAACGAAUUGCAAAAAUCGCUGAAGCUGGAGACUUAUAUUUCCCUCACUAACUUUAAACAUCAGCUAUCUGAGCAGCUAACAGAUCGCUACAGCUGUACAUAG